rnacentral:rRNA from 1 species
GACGAACGCUGGCGGCGUGCCUAACACAUGCAAGUCGAACGGAGAUACGAUUUCGGUUGUAUCUUAGUGGCGAACGGGUGAGUAACGCGUGAGCAACCUGACCUUUAGAGGGGGAUAACACUUGGAAACAGGUGCUAAUACCGCAUAAGACCACGACCCGACAUCGGGAUGAGGUCAAAGGAGUAAUCCGCUAGAGGAGGGGCUCGCGUCCCAUUAGAUAGAUGGCGGGGUAACGGCCCACCAUGUCGACGAUGGGUAGCCGAGCUGAGAGGCUGAUCGGCCACACUGGAACUGAGACACGGUCCAGACUCCUACGGGAGGCAGCAGUGGGGAAUAUUGGGCAAUGGGCGCAAGCCUGACCCAGCAACGCCGCGUGAGGGAAGAAGGCCUUCGGGUUGUAAACCUCUGUCCUUGGUGACGAAAAAAUAGACGGUAGCCAAGGAGGAAGCCCGGCUAACUACGUGCCAGCAG